ensembl:lncRNA
CCCGUGAGGCCUGUGUUGUGUUCUCCUUCAUAAUGGUGGCCUGUUCCAUUCCAAGCAACGCAACUCGUGUCCUGCAGAAGACGAGGACACCGCGACAAGCGCUGUUAAUCCGCUGCUUGUUCUCGCUGUGCACAGAGGGAACAGCCCUCUCCUUUCAACUGGCCGCUGUGUCUGAGGCAGUGUCUGUGUUGCCCCGACACGGAGCCCAACAAUGCCUCUGUGUGUCGGCCGCCGAGCCCAGCCUCUCCAUCACUGCUGCGGAGCCCAGGACCGGGACAUGGGACCGGUGGUGGUCGACGGAUGGGCCUCCUUACAUCAUGCCUCACUCACAACUUGACGUUAAAUUAAGUGAAGACGCUUAAUGUUACCCGUGGUACAACGUUAAGACCACAGCAGGAAGUGAUGUCAGGAGGUGUUGAGCCACAGGCUCUUUAAAACCAGCCCCAGUGGAAGCGGACUUUGAAGGCUCUCAUGACGUCUGUGAUUGUUUGUAGUGAGCUGGACGUCCGGAACACUUGGCCCCGCCCCCUAAAUCCUGUAUUCCGAGCAUCAGCGGCGCGUGUAAACGGGUGUGUCGGUCAUAUUUGCGUUGCACGUGUUUACUUAAAGGUUAAUGUGUAACGGGAGCGAUUAAUCGGAUGAUCAGUGAUCAAUACUGAGGCGGACGUUUAGCUGAUAUGGGACCGACAGCUGCUCACUUGGUUACCAUGGUGUUUAUCUGCUCACCUGGUUACCAUGUUUUCUAUCUACUGGUUACAUGGUGUCUAUCUGCUGGUUACCACGGUGUCUAUCUACUCACCUGGUCCCGGGUUCUGUUUGAGGAAAAGUCUUCUGGGUCUUCUGGUCGCGGGUUCUGUUUGAGGACUAGUUCUUCAACAAGAACGCGCUAAGCACCAGUCAGACCACUUCAAUCUGAGGGGGAUUUGAGGGAAUGGAUGAUGAUAUUGUGUGUGUGUGUGUGUGUGUGUGUGUGUGUGUGUGUGUGUGUGUGUGUGUGUGUGUUGAUGUUGGUGUGACAGGAACAGAACUAUUGUUCUUAUACUGCUGUUAAAUCUUAAAAGCACAGAUCUCCACUAAUCUGUUUUGAUGGGAGGUUCGGGGGGGGGGUAGAGCAAGGCGUUAACACUGCCAGGGUUAGGGGUUUGAGUCCCAUUGAUGGCAUGGGGGGGGGCUAGCUGGCUAUGUUGGUAAGAUACAAGGACUAGUGGCUUCCUUUGCAUUUCUCUGUUCUGCUUCGAGAGAGCGCUCAGUAUCGAGCUGCGUUAUCAGGAUCACUGACCCACAAUGCACCACAGGCCCCUACCGGCUAUUGUUACGCUCGAUUGAACGCUCUAUUGUUAACAAUCUAUUGUUGAGUUGUGUUAGCCCCGCCCAUCUCUUGUUUAACACCCACACACUGACUGACACGUGUACACACACACUCACACUCACACUCACACUCCUAUUCCUCA